rnacentral:rRNA from 1 species
AUACGUAGGGGGCGAGCGUUGUCCGGAAUGAUUGGGCGUAAAGGGCGCGUAGGCGGCCUGUUAAGUCUGGAGUGAAAGUCCUGUUUUCAAGAUGGGAAUUGCUUUGGAUACUGAUGGGCUUGAGUGCAGGAGAGGUUAUCGGAAUUCCCGGUGUAGCGGUGAAAUGCGUAGAGAUCGGGAGGAACACCAGUGGCGAAGGCGGGUAACUGGACUGCAACUGACGCUGAGGCGCGAAAGUGUGGGGAGCAAACAGGAUUAGAUACCCUGGUAGUCCACACUGUAAACGAUGAAUGCUAGGUGUAAGGGGUAUCGACUCCCUCUGUGCCGCAGUUAACACAAUAAGUAUUCCGCCUGGGGAGUACGGCCGCAAGGUUGAAACUCAAAGGAAUUGACGGGG